rnacentral:rRNA from 1 species
CCUACGGGAGGCAGCAGUGAGGAAUAUUGGUCAAUGGACGAGAGUCUGAACUAGCCAAGUAGCGUGAAGGAUGACUGCCCUAUGGGUUGUAAACUUCUUUUAUAAAGGAAUAAAACGAGGCACGUGUGCCUUUUUGCAUGUACUUUAUGAAUAAGGAUCGGCUAACUCCGUGCCAGCAGCCGCGGUAAUACGGAGGCUCCGAGCGUUAUCCGGAUUUAUUGGGUUUAAAGGGAGCGUAGAUGGGUUGUUAAGUCAGUUGUUAAAGUUUGCGGCUCAACCGUAAAAUUGCAAUUGAUACUGGCAGUCUUGAGUACAGUUGAGGUAGGCGGAAUUCGUGGUGUAGCGGUGAAAUGCUUAGAUAUCACGAAGAACCCCGAUUGCGAAGGCAGCUUACUAAACUGUGACUGACAUUGAUGCUCGAAAGUGGGGGUAUCAAACAGGAUUAGAUACCCCUGUAGUC